ACGGAAGGCAGCAGUGAGGAAUAUUGGUCAAUGGACGAGAGUCUGAACCAGCCAAGUAGCGUGCAGGAUGACGGCCCUAUGGGUUGUAAACUGCUUUUGUACGGGAAUAAAGUGACCUACGUGUAGGUUUUUGCAUGUACCGUAAGAAUAAGGACCGGCUAAUUCCGUGCCAGCAGCCGCGGUAAUACGGAAGGUCCGGGCGUUAUCCGGAUUUAUUGGGUUUAAAGGGUGCGUAGGCGGACGCGUAAGUCAGCGGUGAAAUAUCCCGGCUCAACCGGGAGGCUGCCGUUGAUACUGCGCGACUAGAGUCCGAACGGCGCCGGCGGAAUAUGUAAUGUAGCGGUGAAAUGCAUAGAUAUUACAUAGAACACCGAUCGCGAAGGCAGCUGGCGAGGACGGCACUGACGCUGAGGCACGAAGGCGUGGGGAUCAAACAGGAUUAGAUACCCUGGUA
rnacentral:rRNA from 1 species